UUGUCUCCAGAUUUGCUGGGCACGUCACCGUGGGAUCUGUUAGAGCUGCUAUUCGUUCCUCUCAGCUUCUCACAGAGGGUAGCUCUGGACAGUCAGCUGGAUCCAGCUGAUAACUUGGUCUCGGCACAAAGACCAAAACUAGUAGCAAGAUUGGCAGGAGUACAAGGAGGUGACCACAGCAGUCCCAGAUGUUAUUGGACAGAGCGUUGGGCAGAAUGGUGCACAGAAUCCUCCUACAACAUCAACAAAGAAUACAGUAAGGAUCUUAUCCAGUGCUCAGCUGGAUACUGGGAGUUCAAGAACUGUGUUCAGUGACAUAAAACUGAAACACCUACGCGGUAAGUCAUUUUCAGGCAUCAGUUCACUGUGAAGAAAACAUCAUCUAGACAGAACAACAAACGUGCUCACAGAGUUAAUCACAACUCAUGUGCCCCAAGCUGAUUUGAAAUGCCAUCUGUUUUGCAUUUGUUAUAUAUAUGCAAGUAAGCAUACACAAAUAAUUACUGGUUUGGGGAGGAGUUUAACAGCAUGUGGGCUUAAAAAAAAAGAUUUAGGGUUGUCUAGAGUAACUCAUUGCUAGAGUUUCAAUGCUGAAUUAUAUCUAACAGAUACUGGAUGACGCCAACAGUGUUACAUAAAACUAGCUGCUCCAAUGUGAAAAUUGGUUCAGUGCAUCAAAUCUGCAAGAUCAGCACAGCUUUUGUUCAGUUCCCAAUUACCUCAAAAAGCAGCCAAGUGAAUUGACCUGUCAUGGACAGAGGCACAAUGCAGCAGUGAAGACAGCUGGAAUAAUAAUAAUGCUAAGAGUUUGCCAAACCUCAAGCAAUGCCACUGUAAAUCACUUAUCUUUAAUCAGAUUGUUUCUCCACCAGACCUUCACUAAUUGCACCCUUCUCACUAGUCACCACAGGACCGCUAGCAAUGAAACAUUACUCAAUCCAUUCCAAAAAAAAAGCAGUACGUGACUUCUUAGUCUUCAGAUACCAAAUACAUUAGUUAUAAAAAUUCAUGAGUAGAAAGUUACAAAUACCAGCCUAUGCUUAACAAGUACCUAUUAGCUUUUUUCCAGACCGUUACUGAUUUUAUUCUCAUUUUUAUUAAAAAAUGUUGUAUCUAUACUCAACAGUAAAUUUUCACUUUUUCAGGUACUUGACACUCUGUAAGGCAGACAUUAAAUUAAAUGCUAAAAAAAAUCUUUCCAUUCUCAAAUCCCUAAACACAGAAAUAAAAGUUUUACAAAUAAAAAGCCUUUUUUAGCUUUAUUAGUUAAGCACAUGUUAGGCAGCUGGAAGGAAGAAAACCAAAAGCCUCAUUUAAUCUGUUCUGCCAAGACACAUCCCCAGACGAGAUCACACUAUGGAC